GUGGGGAAUUUUGCGCAAUGGGGGAAACCCUGACGCAGCAACGCCGCGUGGAGGAUGAAGGUCUUCGGAUUGUAAACUCCUGUCAGUGGGGAAAAAGGGGCACGGGUGAACAUCCCGUGUCAUUGAUUGUACCCGCAGAGGAAGCCCCGGCUAACUCUGUGCCAGCAGCCGCGGUAAUACAGAGGGGGCAAGCGUUAUUCGGAAUUAUUGGGCGUAAAGGGCGCGUAGGCGGUCGCACAAGUGGGAGGUGAAAUCCCUCGGCUCAACCGAGGAGCUGCCUCCCAAACUGAGUGACUUGAGUCCGGGAGAGGUGAGUGGAAUUCCCAGUGUAGCGGUGAAAUGCGUAGAUAUUGGGAGGAACACCAGUGGCGAAGGCGGCUCACUGGACCGGAACUGACGCUGAGGCGCGAAAGCGUGGGGAGCAAACGGGAUUAGAAACCCGAGUAGUCC
rnacentral:rRNA from 1 species